GACACGUCCCGCGGGAGCCGGGUGGGCCCGGCUGAGAGGGAGACCGAGCGUCUCCGACCGCACGAACCUGAUCCGGAUCAUGCCGGCGAAGGGAGGGGAGAGCGCACCAUG
rnacentral:ncRNA from 2 species